GUGCUAACUUCAGCAGCUCAUACACUAAAAUUAGAGCUACAGAGAUUAGCACGGCCCUAUCACAAGGCUGGCAUGCAAAUUAAUGAAUUGUCCUAUAGUUUU
ensembl:snRNA U6 U6 spliceosomal RNA